rnacentral:sRNA from 1 species
GGAACAAGUAUUGAGGAGAAUUUCCGUACCCCCUAUACUAUAUAUGCUAUGAAAUAAUGGUUUGUAUUAUUUACUUUGUAUGCUUCAUUAGAAUUUAUACGUGCUAUGAUACAACGGUUUAUAAUGAGGUAUGUAUUGACUAUUAUAUAUGCUUUGUAAUUUGGAUUUGGAUAUUUUCCCCUGGGCAUGAGGGUUAGAAGAAGUACAGUGGUGGAGAAUGAUCUGUCAUCUCUUUUGUAGCAAUCCAUGUCUCCGCAGCAAGCCUUCUUCCCACGUAUCUAUAUGACUUUGAUUUGAAAGCCCUGAUCAAACUACUAUUCCUCCUAUCAAAGUUUAGAAUUUGGUUAUUCACCAUGUACGAGGAUCCCCGUUAAGCAUCCCCGACCCCUCAAAGACAACUCGGCAGUGGAGGGAUCUUCAAGAGUACAUAAAUGUGAUGUACAAUGUUUAGUGAAUGUGUACUUCAAGCUCUCUGUUAAGUAUUUUAAUGUUUGGUUCUAGAGUGAUCGAAAUGACAACAAAAUAUUCUUCUGAGUUCUGAUACAAGUAAGCUUGCUGGGAACCCUUGUUGCAUGAAAAGCCUUAGCGGCCCUUAAUUAUAAUUUUAGUGGAUAAAACAAAUUCCUACAAUAUAAGGAAAAAGCUUUCAUGUCAGUGUCUAUUU